rnacentral:rRNA from 1 species
UACGUAGGGGGCAAGCGUUGUCCGGAUUUAUUGGGCGUAAAGGGCGCGUAGGCGGCCUUUCUAAGUCGAACGUGAAAUCCCCGGGCUCAACCCGGGAACUGCGUCCGAUACUGGAAGGCUUGAAUCCGGGAGAGGGAUGCGGAAUUCCAGGUGUAGCGGUGAAAUGCGUAGAUAUCUGGAGGAACACCGGUGGCGAAGGCGGCAUCCUGGACCAACACUGACGCUGAGGAGCGAAAAGCUGAGGGGAGCAAACGGGG